rnacentral:rRNA from 1 species
UAGUGGCGGACGGGUGAGUAACACGUGGGAACGUGCCCUUUGGUUCGGAACAACUCAGGGAAACUUGAGCUAAUACCGGAUGUGCCCUUCGGGGGAAAGAUUUAUCGCCAUUGGAGCGGCCCGCGUAGGAUUAGCUAGUUGGUGGGGUAAAGGCCCACCAAGGCGACGAUCCUUAGCUGGUCUGAGAGGAUGAUCAGCCACAUUGGGACUGAGACACGGCCCAAACUCCUACGGGAGGCAGCAGUGGGGAAUCUUGCGCAAUGGGCGAAAGCCUGACGCAGCCAUGCCGCGUGAAUGAUGAAGGUCUUAGGAUUGUAAAAUUCUUUCACCGGGGACGAUAAUGACGGUACCCGGAGAAGAAGCCCCGGCUAACUUCGUGCCAGCAGCCGCGGUAAUACGAAGGGGGCUAGCGUUGCUCGGAAUUACUGGGCGUAAAGGGAGCGUAGGCGGAUAGUUUAGUCAGAGGUGAAAGCCCAGGGCUCAACCUUGGAAUUGCCUUUGAUACUGGCUAUCUUGAGUACGGAAGAGGUAUGUGGAACUCCGAGUGUAGAGGUGAAAUUCGUAGAUAUUCGGAAGAACACCAGUGGCGAAGGCGACAUACUGGUCCGUUACUGACGCUGAGGCUCGAAAGCGUGGGGAGCAAACAGGAUUAGAUACCCUGGUAGUCCACGCUGUAAACGAUGAGUGCUAGUUGUCGGCAGGCAUGCCUGUCGGUGACGCAGCUAACGCAUUAAGCACUCCGCCUGGGGAGUACGGUCGCAAGAUUAAAACUCAAAGGAAUUGACGGGGGCCCGCACAAGCGGUGGAGCAUGUGG